rnacentral:lncRNA from 1 species
UAGGGUACUUACCAUCUGUAGUAUCGGAACUUUGGUAUUAUAAUUUCGCUUUCGAUAUAAGGGUCUUCAAAUCAACGAUCCACGCUGUUAAAACCGAUUUAGAAUAUUUGAAAUUUUUAAAAAUAAAAUUUAAUAUUUUUUCGACAUAAUUUACUUUAUAAUCAAAUUAUUUCAAACUUAUCAAAUUCAAAUGACUAUUAUGACGAAUUUGUAGUUUAACGGCGUAAAAGAAUAUAAAUUUAUUCAAAUUUUGGUAAAAAAUAUUUUAAAUUAUCUAGAUCAAAGUCAAAAUUCUUAAUCUUUAAUUCAAAAGUCCUAUCCUCAAAUUUUUUAAAUUGUUUAAUUUUUACUAUCCAUUUUGACAUAAUUUACUUAUUAAGUAAAUGAUGUUGAAAAAAAAUAAAAUUUUAUUUUUAAAAAUUUCGUAUAAUAUUUGACGAUAUGAAUUAUUGAUUUGAAUAUAUUGAGAUCGAAAAUGAGACUAUAGUACCUAAUCGCAGAUACUAUAAAUUGUACAGUAGCCCUAUUUUAACUACAUAUAAUUUAUUAUUAUUAUUAUUAUUUUU